GGGGGGUUGCACAUUGGUUUUGUCGCAGGACAGUCAAAUUCUGGUCUAGGAUGGGGAAGUGAUUGCUUGAAGGUCAUUCCACAUUGUUUGAGUGAGAGAGAGGCAAUAGAAACUGGAUUAUGUUUUCUAUUGCAAGGGUUGUGACUGAUGCACAGCUUCUAGGUGGAGAGCAUUAGAGCAUUUCGAGUUUGGGGCGAUACGUUCUUUGCCACAUACUGAAAGAAAUAUCUCUCGAUGCAGAGCUGUCGACAACCGCCCCCUGUUAAACUUCACGGGAGGUCAUGAAUUGUAGGCAACCUGCGCAGCGGCUUGCUACACUGCUGAGACAUCAGAAACUGCGUGCAGAUUCCAAGACUAUGAAGAGUAAGAACCUCAAGGAUCAGAUUAUUGAAGGUGACUCCAGCCUAAUCACAACUGGCCCGGUUUGCUUUAAAGAUGUGACCGAGCUUGUCAUGUGAGAGGGAUGUAAGAGGAAAUGACUCAGAAAUAUUUAUGAAGACAAGCACCCAUUCGAGAACCAUGUCUCAGAUGUUGGAUACACUUGCUCAGGAUGGACAUGAUUAUGUAACAUUUUUUGAAGAAUUGUUGCCGAGUUAUAACUACUAACUUCGAGGGCAAAGAUACUACGAACCCAUGUGAGAACAAUUGUUGUGUGUCUGCAAAAGCUUUGCAGAUUCUCUAGCUCCAGCAAAGCACUGUGCAGGCGGAAAGAGACCGACUGAUUGAUACUGUAACAAAAUGUAGUUUCCAUGCGUGGAUUUGUUUGCCAAGCAUGCCAGAUACGUAAACCUUGCAGUGUUAUAAAGUUCACAACACUUGCAACACCAGUUUCUAGAGGUAUUAAACUGACAAUGCCACCAUAUCGACCUAGAAAACGACCGUGCGGUGCUUAUAUCCGUAUUCUCAGAAUUUCCUGGGUACCAUGAAAACCUGCACCAACAUUGCCAUGCUUCGAUGAUGAAGCUGAUCAUGUGCAAUUGUAGUUUGUGGCUCUGCAUCUUCAGAUCAGAACUUGCUUUGAGAAAAUUGGGGUAUUUGUAUGGAAUUUCAUGUCGAUUGCAUUGAAGAACGUUUUACAGUUGUAGCUGCAAAAGAAUAUGGUUUAUUAUUGCUAA